GAUGUAGAACGUAGCGAAAUGCGAUAAGUAGUGUGAAUUGCAGAAUUCAGUGAAUCAUCGAAUCUUUGAACGCACAUUGCGCCCCUUGGUAUCCCGAGGGGCAUGCCUGUUCGAGCGUCAUUUCACCACUCAAGCCUGGCUUGGUGUUGGGCGACGUCCCCUUUGGGGACGCGCCUCGAAACGCUCGGCGGCGUGGCACCGGCUUUAAGCGUAGCAGAAUCUUUCGCUUUGGAAGUCGGGGCCCCGUCUGCCGGAAGACCUACUCGCAAGGUUGACCUCGGAUCAGGCAGGGAUACCCGCUGAACUUAAGCAUAUCAAUAAGCGGAGGA
rnacentral:misc_RNA from 1 species